AUGUCUGAACAUUUCCUUUGGUUCGCUACAACACUUUAUGACAUUUAUUUUUUUAUGCUCCCCAAAUCAUUUGUAACAUACUACCAACAAAAUAAACGCACUAUUAAAAACUCUUUGGCAGAUUUUACAAUUUCACUCUUUAGUUUUGCUGUAACUUAUUUGUUUGUAUUGUUGUUUAUUUUAUUCUCCUUUUUUGCCCCCAGAAUGGCUACUCCAUAUAGUCGUCCAGGAAGAAUUACGUGCAAAUGCAUUCAGACCCGUGUGAUAAAUAAAGCUGAAACAUUUAUAUACACGCAACAGUCUAAAAUUGAACCUGCAACAUACAGGACAACAUCAGUCUGUGCCCUCACGGAUAAUGCCUUGACCUACCUACACAAAAGAUCUGGCCCAGACCCCGAAUUUGAGGAAGGAGCUAGCUACAUUUUAAAGAAUGUGACCAUCUCUACCAGAGAUGGGCUAGCGCAUUUACUGGUUGGGCCAGCGACACAGAAAUUUCGUACAGCUCCACUUGUGGUCACAGAGGAUGCUGUUAAAGCUGCACAAGACACACUCUGUCCACCCUCUAAACCCAUAUCUGGCAACGAAGACAACAUGUACUUAACUCAUGGAUAUAUUACUCUUCAAGGCCAAGUGAAAAAACUACAAAAAGUGAGGAUGACACGAUCCUCAAUUCCCAUUUUAAAUCUAAAGCUGCUGUGUGGUCCUGAUCAACUUGAUAUCUCCCUGUGGAAAGAAGAAGCUCUUUGUGGCUUACACAUUGGAGAUGAUGUACAAAUCACCCACCUUUAUAGUGACAAGGUGCCUCGAGGAAGAAGUAGUUUUCAUUCUUCUCAGUACACAACUGUUAAGAUUAAGGAAACUCCACGGACAGAACAAGAAAUUGAAAUUUUGGGAGUAUCUCAAUCAGAUGACACCUACACUCUUCUUAGCACUGAUGACGAAGUCUACACAGUUUCUGCUGAGUUUUACACUGGAAACUUCGCCAGUCUCAUUGAACAAUUACCCAUGAAGAUUAUUGUGGAGCAUAUCAACAACAGAGUCGUUGGUGUCAAAGCACUACUUUAAGCUCAUCUUAACCUGAACUCUAAAAAAUUUUCAUUUUUAUGUCCAUUUUUUUUUUUUUAUACUUUACACUUUUUAAUAUAUACCAUUCUUGUACAUUUAUUGCUUUUAAAUACAUAAUUUCUUGCAUUUUUGUAACCUCUUUGCAUAUCUAAAAUGUAUAUUAAAACUACUUUUUGAAAACAAAACUAAAUCUUACUUAUUGCACUUAAAAAGCUUGAUCACUUAAAUUUUGCACUAUACUACCAUUAACUACACACUU
ensembl:lncRNA